CUGGAAGCGUCUCACGGCGCACCCAGAAACCCUAUGUGAACCUAUACCUCUCUGUUGCCUCGGCGCUGGCUGGGAGCUUUUGUAAACUCCCCCUCCGCUCUCGAGUGGAGGAGCAGGCCCGCCGGCGGCCCUUUAAACUCUUGUUUUUAAAACCCGUCUCUUCUGAGUACAAAUCAUAAAUGAAUCA
rnacentral:misc_RNA from 1 species